CAGUCGCCGCGGGAACACAGAGGGUGCGAGCGUUAAUCGGAUUUACUGGGCGUAAAGCGUGCGUAGGCGGCUAAUUGAGUCGGAUGUGAAAUCCCCGAGCUUAACUUGGGAAUUGCAUUCGAUACUGGUUAGCUAGAGUGUGGGAGAGGAUGGUAGAAUUCCAGGUGUAGCGGUGAAAUGCGUAGAGAUCUGGAGGAAUACCGAUGGCGAAGGCAGCCAUCUGGCCUAACACUGACGCUGAGGUACGAAAGCAUGGGGAGCAAACAGGAUUAGAUACCCGUGUAGUCCCUGUCUCUUAUAC
rnacentral:rRNA from 1 species